rnacentral:misc_RNA from 1 species
GAUGAAGAACGCAGCGAAAUGCGAUACGUAAUGUGAAUUGCAAAUUCAGUGAAUCAUCGAGUCUUUGAACGCACAUUGCGCCCCCUGGUAUUCCGGGGGGCAUGCCUGUCCGAGCGUCAUUGCUGCCCUCAAGCACGGCUUGUGUGUUGGGCCCCGUCCUCCGAUCCCGGGGGACGGGCCCGAAAGGCAGCGGCGGCACCGCGUCCGGUCCUCGAGCGUAUGGGGCUUUGUCACCCGCUCUGUAGGCCCGGCCCGCUUGCCGAUCAACCCAAAUUUUUAUCCAGGUUGACCUCGGAUCAGGUAGGGAUACCCGCUGAACUUAAGCAUAUCAAUAAGCGGAGGA